rnacentral:rRNA from 1 species
AUACGUAGGGAGCGAGCGUUGUCCGGAAUUACUGGGCGUAAAGGGUGCGUAGGCGGCUUGGCAAGUCAGAUGUGAAAUCCCCGGGCUUAACUCGGGAGUUGCAUUUGAAACUGCUAGGCUUGAGUGCAGGAGAGGAAAGCGGAAUUCCUAGUGUAGCGGUGAAAUGCGUAGAUAUUAGGAGGAACACCAGUGGCGAAGGCGGCUUUCUGGACUGUAACUGACGCUGAGGCACGAAAGCGUGGGGAGC